AUAGACUAAUUAAAGACUAAACACUCAGAACAUUUUUUUCAAAAAAAUAUAACUUAUAAGCUGUGAACCGCGUGAACCCACGUUGUACCGCAUCGGCUCGCCCCCCGUAUGACAGAUUUUCUUGGCCGCACUGUUAUUUUCGAUUUUGCUUUGCGCUGAUUUGCGCGCGUAAAACGAGUUUGUUUAUGUUUUUAUUUUGGCAAAUCUGUUGACGGGUGGAAUUUUUUUUGCCAACUUCUGCUUAUAAUUUCGUAAAAUUAAUUAUCAGCAUCACGCCUUCAAGCAAUCGUUUUGAAACCGGUGCAGGUUGUUGGAGUUGGAGUGCACCAGGAGACAUGACUGUGUCAGUCAGUUAGGUUCGCGGCUUUUCAUCCAGCAGGUGCCCAACAUAAAGAAAGUUACGUCGCUGGAGUGAAAGAGUUCACCAUUUCGUCACGCUGUUAUCAUCCACAAAAAUCAAGUGUAAAAUAGCUAUCACAAGAGGCGGGCAAAAGGCCACCGUCCGCAAGAAAAGGAAGUACAAGGUGGUACAAGUUGGUACGCCCGGCCGCCAAAUCCAAGAUCCAUUUUGUGCAAACCGCUGUGGAAACAGGAAGGUCUGUGCGCACCGUCUGGACGCCAGCAACUUUGCCUGGGCUUCGGAGGGAUGCACGCUAGGCACGUCGUGAUCGAUGCCGCGCCGUUUCAUCAGUGGUACGAGAACCACUACCUGCAGUCGCAGGACAAGAAACGUGACCUGAAGGCCAGCUAGGAGGAUGUGUUAGCCAAAAGGACAGGAAGCAUCUGCUUAAGAAGUACGCCAAGCGUCAGAAGACUAACAAGAUCGAUUCCGCCCAGGAGUAGUAGUUCAACGCUAGACGUCUGCUGGCCGUCAUCGCUUCCCGACCUGGACAGAUUGGCCGUGCCGAUGAUCCUGAUGCUGUUCUGGGCUGCGCGGGCGAUGGAUCAGCGAAGAGAAGCGGAAGGAGGACAUCUUGUGUACACGAGGAGCAGGUUCGGGAACUCCGAUCGCUACAAUCUUAGGGAAAAGCAAGUCAAACCAAAAGUAUUUGUGAACCAAAAUGUGAAGAAUCUCAAUGGUCGAAUAAAUUUAGUUAGAAUGCAA